GCAAGGGCAAGAUGGCACCUGCCUGUAGUCCCAGCUACUCGGGAGGCUGAGGCAGGUGGAUGAUUUCAGCUCAGGAGUUCUGGGCUGUUAUGUGUGUUAUGCAGAACAGGUGUUCUCACUAAGUUCAGCAUCAAUAUGGUGAAUUCCCAGGAGUGUGGGGCUACCAGGUUGCCCAAGGAGGAGUGAACCAGCCAAGGUCAGAAACAGCAGGUCAGAACUUCUGUGCUGAUCAGUAGUGGGAUCAUGCCUGUGAAUAACCACUGUACUCCAGCUGGGGCAACAUGGAGAGACCCUGUCUCUA
rfam:Pan troglodytes isolate Yerkes chimp pedigree #C0471 (Clint) chromosome 1, whole genome shotgun sequence.